CGCCCCGCGUCGCAGAGACGGCCCCGCCCCCGUCACGGAGGGCACCUGGCCGCACGCCUUGCUACCCUCCCGGCUUGCAAGAGGGGGCGAGCCAGGCCUCCUGUAACCUGAGCGUGACUAUGAGGGGACGACGUGGGAACCAGGCCUUCUCCCUAGGAGAGGGAAAAGGAACCAGAGUCCCCGCCAUCUUUUUGGUUGGAGAGAAAAAGAGUCGUGUCCCAGCUGAGAUGGAGGCGAAGGAAACCAACCUCACUCCCUUUGGAAGAAUAAGAGGUGUCAGCCUCCCUACCCAGAGAUUGCAAGCCCCUCAAGGUGAGGGAUUCUAUUUUCUGAUUUUCUCAGAAUGA
rnacentral:lncRNA from 13 species